rnacentral:rRNA from 1 species
GACGAACGCUGGCGGCGUGCCUAAUGCAUGCAAGUCGAACGCUGAAGCGAGGAGCUUGCUCUUCUUGGAUGAGUUGCGAACGGGUGAGUAACGCGUAGGUAACCUGCCUGUUAGCGGGGGAUAACUAUUGGAAACGAUAGCUAAUACCGCAUGAAAUUGCUUAUCGCAUGAUACUUGAUUGAAAGAUGCUAUUGCAUCACUACCAGAUGGACCUGCGUUGUCUUAGCUAGUUGGUGAGGUAACGGCUCACCAAGGCGACGAUACAUAGCCGAGCCGAGAGGGGGAUCGGCCACACUGGGAAUCAGACACGGCCCCGACUCCCACGGGAGGGAGCAGUAGGGGAACUUUGGCGAUGGGGGGAACACCGUGCGGGCGAAGCCGCGUGAGUGAAGAAGGGGUUCGGAUCGUGAAGAUCUGUUGUAAGAGAAGAAAGGGUAUGAGAGUGGAAAGUUCACACUGUGACGGUAUCUUAACAGAAAGGGACGGCUAACUACGUG